GGUGAGGGAAAAAACUUGUUUAGGAAGAAUGGGUCCAGUCUCUCCUGACAUCAUCGCCAGGAGGGGUCAACAUCUAUGUGGCCCUCUUUCCCCAUCUUACAGUUGAAAACUUUGAGCUCCCGGGAAAGAAGCGAUGACACAGAAAUUGUCCACCUCCCCAGUUUCAUUUCACAUAUAAGGUUUCCUUCAGACAGGGCUGACUGCAAGAAGCUUCUUAAUCAGACCACAAGCAUCUUCUCUCUUUCAGGAGCACAUGGGUUGUAAUUUUUAAAUAAGUAGACCAAUGCUAGGAAACUUAAAACCAAACACAUUUCAUAAGACUGAACUUUUCAGUAAGCAAGAGCUGAGCUGGCAGAGCUAGAAGCAUUCAGAGAGGAUGGCUGAGGUUGGCUGGCUCUUUGGACUGUGCACAGCACAGUCUCCAGCAUCCCUUGACCAGAGCUUGUAAAUCUUAGAGGCCAGGAGCCACUGGCUGCCCUCCCCCACCCCGCCCUUCAAACUACUUUUAAGGGCCACUGAUCUUCAGGGUCGAGAAAGUUCACUGUGACCACAUAGGACUUCAUAAAGCAAGAGUGUGGUCAUAGUAGAAGGAUCAGUUCCCACAGUAACUGAUAGACUGAUCAGUUCCCACAGUAACUGCAUAGACUGAUGAGCCUCUACAGACACCCAAAGCAUAAAUACCCAUGAUCAGAGGGAUCUGUUUACCAGGGAGGAGACCCACUCAUUUUUUGAUCCAGAAACUCCUGUUCUAUUUUAAGAACUGUGCUGGGUUCCUGGGUAUUGCUACAGAUACAAAAUCAAUUGAGGCCCUACGCUUAAGUUCUUUUCCAGCAACUAGUACAGGAGACAGAAUAGAGAGAUCAACAACUCUUUAGUGCUGUGAUAGAGGGAAGUAUGUGGGGAGGUAUGUGGUAUCUAAGUCAGAUUGGGGUAUUUGAGAGAGCUUCCUGGAAGAGGUGGUAUUUGAGUUGAGUUUCGAAGGAUAAGCAGGCAUUAUCAGGAGGGAGGCCUUCCUAGGAAGACAAGCCAGCAGUGUAUAUGGUCCUAAAAUAGCACAGUGCAUUCAGGGAUGUAUAGCAAAGAGUGAAUGCGCUAAAUGGCUGAAAAAGAAGCUAGGCGGAGAGCAGGAGGCAGACACAGGGUACGGGAGCUAAGCUAAGGAGGUAGAACUUGACCCUGAGGGAUAAGGGGGCCGGGUGAUCAGGGAGGUGAGGUGAACAGAUGUGUUUCAGAAGGACCUCUCUGGCUAGAAGGAUGGAUAGAAUGGGAACAGCCUGGAGGCUGGGGCCGAGCUAGGAGGUGAAUGCAGUAACCCAGUAUUUUGAAUUCUUCCAGCAGAAGACGUCUUGAAGAGUUUGACUCAGGUGUCACAGCAUAAAAGUCAGGGUCACCCAGGAGGGUGUGGCCUGGGCAAGCCUUUGGACCUGAGGGUGGUAAUAUACCCAGCAGGAAAUGGUUUACCUGGAUUGUACCUGUGUCUCCUUCCUGAUAAUACUAUGGACAAUUAACUUGUUUUCAUGUCUUUGCUGGCUCUGAGAGACCAGCCUCAAAAUGGGCUCCUUUGUUCUCCAGUGGGUCUGGUGGAGGUGUGAGGAGUUGUGGCGGCCCACAGGCCUCGUAACUAACUAUAGCAGGUUUGUGCUGUUCGGUUUGCUUCUAUGGCAGCUUGCUGUGGGGGCGGGGGGAGAGUGCUGGUAGGGAGUUAGCCAGGUCAGAGUUUGAUCCUCACUCUACUGUGUGCCAGGAUACAACUGAACCUCAGUUGUUUUUAGCACAAAUAAUAAUACUUGCCUGGCAGAGUUGUUGUAAGGGUUAGAGAGAAGCAGCAUGAAAUGCUGAAUACAGACUAGGUGCUCUGUAAUAGUAGCUGGUGUUGUUAUUUCCCUUCCCAGAAUAGAGGAAAAGAAAACACAACUCUUGUUAUACCAUUUUGGGCCCCAAUAGACCAGGGAAAAAAGCCUACUCGUGCAAUUCUAAACUGCCCAGCAGAGAACUGAGGUUGGUUGUUAGGCGGGGUUGCUGGUGGGGGAUUUUGUCUGGCUCCUGGGAUCCAGGUGAAUGUUUUCUACAAUCUGGAGGCAGUCUGGGUUUCUCCUGGAUGUGUAUAGAGUGAGGAUGCUGCUAACACCCACCCUGGCCUCAUAUCCUUAGAGGUGUGAGGGCACUGAGUCUUCUGGCUCUCCCGCCAGUGGGUCUCUUGGCCUGGGCCCAGCUGGACAACAUCGGGAAGUGAUGUGUAGCUGGAACUCAGCAGAAUUACCUCAUGAUUGGGUAGAUACUGCCUGCAGCCAGAAUGUGUGUAUGUGUGCCCCCUGACUGGAACUUUCUGCCAGCUGCAGGGGAUCAUGCAGAAGGUCCAGCAGGUAGCUUAGAGGGGGCUUCUUGGUUCCAUGUUGUUUCCCAUUAGAGAAAAUUGAUUUUAGAUGAAUACAUUUUUAUUCCUGGUUUUCAUUCUCAAUGAGGGGCUUCUGUUUUCUCCUCCUCUUGUAUUCUGUUACUCCUUGGCAAGUGAGUCAGGCUUGCUGCCUCACGAAAACAGCCAUCACAUUGUCUCCACUCCCCUACCUAUAAUCUGUUCUCCACAUUCACACUGAAGGAGCAGGUGAUGGAGGAGGGUCAGCUCUCGGGCCUGUCUUUGGAAUAUGAAUGACCUCUCCUACUAUGCUCAGCCAUUGUACUAGGGAUGGUGAGGCUGUGUCUCUGCUUACAACAUGCUCCAGGCCUUGUGGCAGAAGACAGAUAAAUGGACAAAUUAAAGCCAAUAAACAGUCUCGGUAAACAGGUCAUAGCAUGCUGUUGCCCAGAAAUUGGUGAUGGAUCCUUGUCACCCAUAGGAUAAAUGAACCCAUUCUCGGCUUGGCAUCCAGGCCUUUCUUACACUGCCUUAGCCUUGAUUCUGGCCUUAUUCACCUUUUCCGCAUUUUUUUUUGCCCCAAGCAACAAGACCACAGAUACUAUUCUGGCCUCUCUCCUCCUCUAUUCAUGCUCUUCCCAUCCAGGAAGCUGCUGCUUUUUUUUUUUUUUUUUUCUUCUUCCUCUGCCCAUGGAUUUCCUGCUCAUCUUUUGAAGCCUAGCAGAAAUGUCAUUUCCUCUGAGAAGUCUUUCCCAUUUCCGUCAUACCUGAGAACUAACCCACCUCUCUGCUUCUGUUGCCCUUUGCACAGACUUCUGCUGAGAGCAUUUAUUACUGUGAAUCACUUUCUGCUGCUUGUGUCUAGCACAGUGCCUGACACAUGACAAGUUGCUCAGUGUCGAGAAAAUGAGUAAAUGAAUUUUUUAAUAAGACCGAAUGCGUGAAUGAAUGGCAAAGGCCCUUUCAUGUCACCUGGAAGAUGCAAAAGACAUUGCAGGCUUUCAAUUCAAUGAUGAAACCAUUUAUUGAGGGACUAUUUUAUGCCAGAGGGUAGGGUGACAAGUAUCAAUGUGAUAUGGUACCUGGUUUCCAAGAGCCCACCGUCUCCUGGAGAUAGCCAUAGUGGAACUUGGUGGGGAGGCCACCUGAAAUAAAAGCUAACCCAAGAAAUGCUUACUUCCAAGGGGUAAGCUCUGUCUCCACCUCAGCAGAGUGAAUAUCAUCCCGGUGUGUGGCGUAAAUUCACUGCAGAAAGGCCUGCUGGUGUAGGUAGGCAGGCGUUGUGAAGGUGAUGAUGUUGCCUUGUAUUUACAUAGACAGAAGGGAUAUUGGGGCUGUCUGCCCCUCAGUACCGGGUAGCAUCUGAUGUACCUUCAGAUAUUCCUUCCACAGGGUGGGUUACCAGGAAAUGGGGCUUAGUGCCACCCAGGAACCUCACCCUGGUAUGUAAUCCCAACACAAAUAAAAACCUUAUAGGGGG